AAUGCGCGUUGUGCGUGUGUGCAAGUGUAUGUCCAUGUGUGCAUGUGUGUGUGCGCGCGCAGGAAGUGCGUGAAAUCACAUCCAUUUCAGCUGCCCAGGGCUGGGCGGAGAGAGGGGAGUGGGAGCAGGAGGUGCCGGCCUGGCGUGCGCGGAGGCAGCUCUCUGGGUGUCCGAGCUGCAAAAGUGCUUUAACUGGGGGGCUGCAGCCCCGGGCGCAGCUCCACUGCGGCCCACAAAUUACGAGCGAGUGGUUAGCGAGGAGGCGGGAGUUGCUGAAAGCCGGGCCAGAACCUGCGCGUGCGGAGCGGCACGAGUAAUGGCUCCGCAAGGAGUCGUGAUUCCUUUCGAGUGUAAUCAUCUUUCCCCACACGCCGCAGCGCCGGCCAAAUCUCGUUUACAUCCAAGGAGUUGCGGCUAGCCGGGCCAGAAACGUGGGCGACACGCCCCUGCGUCCUUGCCCCGGCCCCGAUUUCCGCUCCAAGCUGGAAGUCCUUCCAGCAUAGGAAACGCUCAACUUCUGGGGCUAUCCCAGCUCAGGAAAUGGAGGAGGGCGGGGAGGCGAGGGGUCAUUGAUGAACCGGCCUGGGUUCCCCCAGGAGCAGGCGAGUGUGAACAACUGUGAGGUGAGGAAAGGCCGUGGGGAAAAACGCUCCUCCAGAGGGCUUCCAGAAGAAACAGUGGCUCCUGGGGAUCCUUGAGGAUCAAGCACAUGGUCUCAGGAUUAAAGACAGCACAAAAACCUGCAACUCCGGAGGGGAAAAUAAAAAUGCAACAAGUCAUCCAAGAUGUGUUCAUAAAGCAACUUCGACAUUUAUAUAUGAAAGUCAAGUGAGUCCCGAGUCUUCAAAAUCGAGUGUGUAUUUUGCACUUCCAGCACAUCUCCAUUUGUGCUGGCCACGUUUCAAUGCUCAGAAGCCACAUGUCAUAGUGGCCGUGGCACUGGGCAACGCAGACCUGACACGUCGGGUGCAUUCAGCAGGUGGAUUAGCAAGAGGCUGCCUGGCUGACCCCAGCUCUCAGAAGGGCUCUCAGGGUGACCUGCUACGACUAUUGGGAGGUAAGUGCUUCCUGGAGGAAGGAGAAAAAGGAAAUUAAGGUAAAAGCGGUCACCCCAAAAAGAGCUUUUAUGGGGGCUUUUAUAUCCUGGGAGCAAUACAGGUUGUUUAAAAUGAGGUUUGAGAGGGACUGCAUUCUACAUGUGUUAACACUACAGGACAGCCUUGGUGAGCCAUUCUCACUGUGGAAUGAACUUGUCCCCCAAGAUCUGACAAGCUGGAAAUGACUGAAUAAUGGAAUUAAGGCCUUUAUCAACAGUUACAUUAGACCUUCGAAGAGACUAAUUACCAUAGUGUGUUCUGGAUCAUGUUUGAUCCAGAGGGGGACUCUGCCCAGGUCAUAGAGGAAGUUGGCACAGAUUACAAUCUUUGCAGGCCCCCAUUCUAAAAAAUGGUGUUCCCAAAGUUGCCGCAUUCAAUCGAUAUUUCGUGCCAUGCUGCUCAGUGCAGUGGACCAGUGGCUAAUAAACUUGUCCUUAUCCAUAAGCCACCGUAUUAGGUGACUCUGUCUGGGCCAGGAACCAAGGCGUGCUAUGAUUUCAGAGACUGGAUUCCUAUCACCUGGGGAAGAGACACGCUCUGGUGACGUAAGAAAGCGGAGAAAUCAACCAUCACCAAAACCUGCAGACUCUGAAAUUAAAGGAGAAAAUAUGCGUGCAGUUGGUUCAAUUGGCACCCAUUAAAGCUAAUAACUAAUCAUCCUCGCAAGUUUCUAGCUCAGAAUGAUCAAAUCUGCAAAGAAAACAACAUCCGUCCACUUUUACACUCCAGUGGAAGAGGUGGUCCCUCGCGGCAGGGCGGCACAGUCUCGCCAUCUGGAGAAUAAAUCGAGUGUGAAGUACAGUAUAGUUUGGGACCAAGCUCCGUGGCGGCAGCUCAGCAGUCAGUUCAUUAGUUCCAAACUUCCAGGGAUUAGAGCGGCAUCAAUUCUACUGUCGGAUAGGAUGAGACAGACAGGAUACGAGAUUCAAGGGGGAUUGUGACAACCAAGAGGAGCCCCUUGGGCUUAUUUAUAAAACUACAAAGUAUAAACAUACCCAAAUAAGUGCCUUAAAUAAUAGCAUUAUCACAGUUUCAUAACAUCUGAAUUAUCACCUUUCCCUUCGCCUCCCAGCCCCCGACUCAAACCUUGAAUGUUAAUGUAUAGUUGUUUUCAGAGGAAAUGGCAGAGACAGCCCUGGGUGCAACAGGAACAACGAGAAAGCUAUGUGCGACCCAAGAUUUGGUAAUUAAGAAACAGGAAAGACUUUCUAGACUCCAGGGAGAUCCACAACAUUUGUGAUGAAAGAAAAGUACAAUGAAUAUUUUCAUCCUGCAAAAGGCAAUUGCCAUGCCACGUAUUCAAAAACGACAGUAAAUUCUAUCCCUUCUGAAUGUGUCCAUCUCAUCUGAUUUUCAUUUUAUCUAAUGUGUAAAAUGAUGUCAUGUCACGGGCAUGAAGUGGUCCAAAUUUUUAGCAGAAGGCCCCAGGAGCAUCUCUAUGAAAAUCUUAUUGAAAAUGUCAAGAUCAAGUUUGGUUUAAAAUAAAAAACGGAAUGAAUUUAUUCUAUUUAAGGACUGCCUUUUUCAUAUAACUUUUUAUCAAUUUGUAUUUAAAAACAGCAUUGCUUAGGACAUAGACCAUCCUCACCAGUCAAUUAUAUUGGAUUUUUCUCAUAAAUGUGUAAAAAUUUACUGUAAUAAUGAUCAGACUGUUGUAGUGACUGCAUUGAAAAAAAAAAAACCAAAUGAAUUCUCAGAUUAUUACAACCUGGUAGUAUGUUUCAACAAGCAAGGUGAGGGCUGAGUUUUCUAUCCUGUUAUUUUUUCCACAUGAAAAAGAAAACUUAGUUUGCCUGUUUUUGAAAAAAAGAAAACCUAUAACAAUAUUGAGCAUACUGUAUGUUAACUGGCUUAAAAUUGUAUGUGCUGAUUCAUCUUACAAAGCGUUACAUGCCAGGCACCCUGUUUACUCUGAAAAUGUAGAUUUUGGCAGAGCAAAGUUUUUGAUAUGUUAAUCAUGAAACAUACAUUAAAACACAGGUUUAUAGUGAAAUGCUAAAUUGGCUUUCAUUCAAAAGACUAAGAAGGCUGAGGAUGUGUAUAGAUGGGUAGCUUAUAAUAUAUAAUUGGUAUUUCUGCCCUUCAGAGAUAUAAUUGAAAAAGAGAAAACCUUACCAAAAAAACUCCAACACUAAAAUACAAUAAACCUAUGAAAAGAAUUUGUUUUGAAGGUCUCCAACCAAUUAAAAAUAUUUUUUAAAGAUGUUAGAACAAUGGCUUUGAGUCAUGCAAACCUAUACAUUUGUCAGAAUUCAUAGAACAUAUACUUUAAAUUUGUGCAUUUCAUUGUAUAUAAAUUUCACCUCAAAAACACAAAGAGAACUGCAAACAACUAUUGAACUCUAGUCAUUCAUAUGCAUGCAUGAGUACCUAAGGGGAAGUGUACUGCUGUCUGCAAUUUACUUUGAAAUGGAUAUGUUAAUACAAAGCAAAUCGAUGGAUGGAGAGAGGGACAAAUGGAUGGUCAGAUACCGAUUAAGUCAGGCAGAGUAAACAUUAAUGGGAGAAUAUAGGAGGUGUGUAUAGUAUAUUGGUUUCUACUGUACAAUCUUCCAACUUUUCUGAUGCUUGAAAUUUUUUUAAUAAAGUGUAGGGGGGAAAAGCACCCUAAAACACUGACAAUUUUUGGAGCUGAUUGAUGAGUAUAUGGGAGUUCUUUAUACUACUCUCUUUACAUUUGUAUAUAUUUGAAUAUUUCCACAAUAAAAAGUUAAAAACUA